AAAAUAAAUAAAGAAAAGAAAAAGAGAGAGAGGAAGAAAGAAUGAAUGAAGGAAUGAAGGAAGGAGAGGAAGAAAAGGAAUUAGGAAGAAAACAAAGAAUAAAGAAUGAGAGAGACGAAAUGAAGGAUAGAAUGAAGGGAAGGAAAAAAAAAACGUAAAAAAUAGUAAGAAAGAAGAAAUGGAGGAAACAAAGAAAAAAGGAAGGAAGGAAGAAAGGGAGAGAGAGGGAGAAAGGAAGCAAAUUAAUAGAGAAAAAAAAAAGUGCAGUGGGAUGAGAGAUGAAAGAAGGAAGUGAGGAAAGGAAAAAAGGAGAAAAGAGGAAGGACAGAAGGAAGGAAGGGAGAGAGUGAGGAGGAGGAGGAGGAGGAGGAGGAAGGAAGCAAAUAAAUAAAGAAGAAAAAGCGUGGUAGGAAGAGAGAUGGAAGAGGGAAAGGAGGAAGAGAGGAAGAGACCAAAUAAAGGAGAAAAAAAGGAAGGACAGAAGGAAGGGAGGAAGGAAGGAAGGGAGGAGGAGGAGGAAGGAAAUAAAUGAAGAAGAGAAAGCGUAGUAGUAAGAGAGACGGAGGAGGAAAAGAAGAGGAAAAGACCAAAUAAAGGAGAAAAAAAGGAAGGACAGAAGGAAGGAAGGAAGGAAGGAAGGGAGGAGGAGGAAGGAAUGAAAUAAAUGAAGAAGAGAAAGCGUAGAAGGAAGAGAGAUGGAAGAGGGAAAGAAGGAAGAGAGAAAGAGACCAAAUAAAGGAGAGAAAAAAGAAUGGGACGAAGGAAGAGAAUGGGAGAUGAAAGGAAGGAAAGAAGAAAGCAAAGAAGAAUAAAAAAGAGGAAGGGGAAGAUGACAAGAAAGGAAUUACAGAAGAAAGAAAAAGGAUCAAAAGAAGAAGGGAAAGAAAAAGGGAAGAAAGGAAAGAAGAAAUAAAAAAAGAGGAAGGGGAUGAUGACAAGAAAGGAAUUAGAGAAGAAAAAAAAAGGAUCAAAAGAAGAAGGGAAAGAAAAAAGGAAGAAAGGAAAGAAGAAAUAAAAAAGAGGAAGGGGAUGAUGACAAGAAAGGAAUUACAGAAGAAAGAAAAAGGAUCAAAAGAAGAAGGGAAAGAAAGAAGGAAGGAAGGAAAGAAGGAAGGAAAGAAGGAUGCCACGCCUAGUAACGAGUCUUUGGCUGAAGGAGAGGACGUUGAGGGAUGACGAAGGAAGAGAGGAAGGGAGGGAGAGGAUAAAGGAAGGACGAGGGAGAUAGGAGGAGAGGGAAGGAGGGAGGAGAAGGAUGGGAGAGGGAAGGAGGGAGAUAGGAGGAGAGUGAAGGCGGAAGGAGGAUGAGGGGGGGAGAGGGGGGGUGACUCAAUAAUUCAAUGGCAGAAUGACCAAUAAACUCUCUCUCUCUCUCUCUCUCUCUCUCUCUCUCUCUCUCUCUCUCUCUCUCUGUGACUUUUAUCCGCAUUUCUCUUGGGGACACACACACACACACACACACACACACACACACACACACACACACACACACGCACAAAGGACCUCUAUUAAGUCAAGACAUAUCCCUUAUACAUACAUACAUACAUACAUACAUACAUACACACUAAUGAAGAGACUAACAUACAUAAAUACUUGUAUACUUGACAGACACACACACACGCACACACACAAUGACAGACACACAAUCACAGACAAACAGACAGACAGACAGACACAAUAACGCCCAAAGUGACAUACAAAUGGAUAUUGCCUGACAUCCUGCGCACAAUAAAUAAACGCACACACACACACACACACACACACACACACACAGAUAGAUAGAUAAAAAUAGAUGAGAGAGAGAGAGAGAGAGAGAGAGAGAGAGAGAGAGAGAGAGAGAGAGAGAGAGAGAGAGAUUAUGCCACAUAGUAAUUUGUUUUAUGUGCCUUCCUUUAAUUAACGAGCAAGCGAAGCGUAAUGAGGUGACAUCAACCAGACGAUGCACCUGUAACCUCUCUCUCUCUCUCUCUCUCUCUCUCUCUCUCUCUCUCACACACACACACACGACUGAUAACGAAAACUAAAAUCAAAACUAUAUCCCCAACAGACAAGAUUGAGGGAUGAGAGCGCGGUAAUCUGAUUGUAUUUUUUUCGAGAUUAAGUAUAUAUUAUAAUUACGAUGGCGCUUAUACAUAACGGCCAGGUGUGAAUAUGAUAAUGACAGGUGAAGAGACGGGAGGACUUUUUGUUGGCGGUAAGAGAUUGUAGAGCAAGGAAGGAUGACUGGAAAACUGAGAGAUAAGGUAACGUUGGAAGAAAGGAAGGAAGGAAGGGAGGAAGGAAAAAAAAGAGGAAAGGAGAAAGGGAGAGAAAAAGAAAGGAAGGAAGACAGGAGGGAAAGGAGGAAGCAAAAAAUGAAUAAAAAAUAAGAAGAAGGGAAGGAAGAUGGGAGAGAAUAGAGGAAAGGAAGGAUAGAAGAAAGGAUGAGAGAAGAAAGUAACAGUUAAAAGAUAGACUGAUAGCAAGGGGGGAUGACUGGGAAACUGAAGAUAAGGUAGAGUUGGAAGAAAGUAACAGUUAAAAUAUUGAUUGAUAAGGAAUGGAGAAUGACUGGGAAACUGAAGAUAAGGUAGAGUUGGAAAAAAGUAACAGUUAAAAUAUUGAUUGAUAAGGAAUGGAGAAUGACUGGAACACUGAAGAUAAGGUAGAAAUGGAGGAAAGUAACAGUUAAAAUAUUGAUUGAUAAGGAAUAGAGAAUGACUGGGAAACUAAAGAUAAGGUAGAGUUGGAAGAAAGUAACAGUUAAAAUAUUGAUUGAUAAGGAAGGGAGAAUGACUGGAACACUGAAGAUAAGGUAGAGUUGGAGGAAAGUAACAGUUAAAAUAUUGAUUGAUAAGGAAGGGAGAAUGACUGGAACACUGAAGAUAAGGUAGAGUUGGAGGAAAGUAACAGUUAAAAUAUUGAUUGAUAAGGAAGGGAGAAUGACUGGAACACUGAAGAUAAGGUAGAGUUGGAAGAAAGUAACAGUUAAAAUAUUGAUUGAUAAGGAAUAGAGAAUGACUGGAACACUGAAGAUAAGGUAGAGUUGGAAGAAAGUAACAGUUAAAAUAUUGAUUGAUAAGGAAGGGAGAAUGACUGGAACACUGAAGAUAAGGUAGAGUUGGAAGAAAGUAACAGUUAAAAUAUUGAUUGAUAAGGAAUAGAGAAUGACUGGAACACUGAAGAUAAGGUAGAGUUGGGUGAAAGUAACAGUUAAAAUAUUGAUUGAUAAGGAAUAGAGAAUGACUGGAACACUGAAGAUAAGGUAGAGUUGGAAGAAAGUAACAGUUAAAAUAUUGAUUGAUAAGGAAUGGAGAAUGACUGGAACACUGAAGAUAAGGUAGAGUUGGAAGAAGGUAACAGUUAAAAUAUUGAUUGAUAAGGAAUGGAGAAUGACUGGAACACUGAAGAUAAGGUAGAAAUGGAGGAAAGUAACAGUUAAAAUAUUGAUUGAUAAGGAAUAGAGAAUGACUGGAACACUGAAGAUAAGGUAGAGUUGGAAGAAAGUAACAGUUAAAAUAUUGAUUGAUAAGGAAUGGAGAAUGACUGGAACACUGAAGAUAAGGUAGAAAUGGAGGAAAGUAACAGUUAAAAUAUUGAUUGAUAAGGAAUGGAGAAUGACUGGAACACUGAAGAUAAGGUAGAAAUGGAGGAAAGUAACAGUUAAAAUAUUGAUUGAUAAGGAAUGGAGAAUGACUGGAACACUGAAGAUAAGGUAGAGUUGGAAGAAAGUAACAGUUAAAAUAUUGAUUGAUAAGGAAUAGAGAAUGACUGGAACACUGAAGAUAAGGUAGAGUUGGAAGAAAGUAACAGUUAAAAUAUUGAUUGAUAAGGAAUAGAGAAUGACUGGAACACUGAAGAUAAGGUAGAGUUGGAAGAAGGUAACAGUUAAAAUAUUGAUUGAUAAGGAAUGGAGAAUGACUGGAACACUGAAGAUAAGGUAGAGUUGGAAGAAAGUAACAGUUAAAAUAUUGAUUGAUAAGGAAUAGAGAAUGACUGGAACACUGAAGAUAAGGUAGAGUUGGAAGAAGGUAACUGUUAAAAUAUUGAUUGAUAAGGAAUAGAGAAU